CAGUCAGUCUUGCUACAGCAGAUGUUUUUCUCAUUUUACUACAUUUUAGGGCACCUAUAAAGAGAAGCCUCUUACAUGUGGUAGAAAACACAUGGAUGGCUGCUUCCAGGGAAGCAAUGCACCCCACAUAUCAACAAUCCUUCCCUUCAGCUGCAUCUUUAUUCUGUAUCAAGAGAUUAACUGCUCCUUCAGCCUUCAGACAGGUACUAUAUCACACAGCAGAGUCUGAACAAACUCACAAAGAAAUAAAUAAGAUUAUAUGUAUUUUCCUCUUGAGACACAACCUUUUCUGAAAAGGUAGAGCUCAUAUAUCCAGCCAUUAAGAGAAAUUUAGCUUUUGGUAAUAUCAAGCUGGAAAAUAACUUGUCAAAGGCACAUGAAGGAAAAGAGUCGUUUAUGACCAUGUGGUGGUCAGUCUGUUGUUUAAAAGCGCACCUGGAAAGGUCUAAGAAACCAGAUUUAAGGUAAGAGAAGCAUUUUUAAAUCCUGUAUUUCCUUCUACUGGCUUAUUACAUACUUAAACAUGUGAGACUAACACCCUAUUGAGGCUUAUAGGUGCAGAAAUCAGCAUUUAGACUCUGUCCUGUGCUGUCUGUAGCCUGCUCUUUGUUAAAUUUUUUGUCUUGUGGUUUUGUUGUAACUAGAACAUUAGAAGAGCUUUUCUUACCUUUUGUUGUAGUUGUUUGCUGGGAAGUCUGGCAAACAGGUAUUUUAAAUGUCAUUUAAUUUGAAACUUUUAAAACCCUACAGUGAGCUAAACUGUAAAGCCCUCAAUCAUUUCUUUUCAUUAAAUUCUAUUUAAUCUGAGUUUAUCAAGCCUUGCUUUACUGGCAGAGGGAUAUCCAUGUUAUACUUGCGCAGUAAAACAGAAAAAUAGUUUAUGAAAACACAUGCUUCUGAUACAUUUUAAAAACUUAUUUCAAGGUCUCUAGUCUGAAAAGAGAAGAGCAUAAAAAUUUAACAACACCUAGCACCACAGAAAUAUAAAAGUAACUAUAACUAUAAAUAUCCAUAUUGCUUUACCUCAUACCAGUUCUAUCUAAAUUGCAUAGAUAGCAUUCAAAACCACCAUUCUGACUUUAGUCAUUCUUCAGACAUUGUUCUUAUUAUGUUAAUAAGAAAUAGCUAAAAAAACUCAAGACCAGGUGUUGUGUUGUGGCACUAAAAGUACACUAGUAUGCCCUUGAUUAUUCCUUCCCAUGGUACCUGACUGCACUGAGACGGGAAUAAUUUCCUCUCAAUCACAAAAGAUUCAAACUAGGAAUAAAAUAGACUGUCAUUUUAGAAAAAGAUAGACC
rnacentral:lncRNA from 1 species